GACGUAGGGGGCCAGCGUUGCUCGGAAUUACUGGGCGUAAAGGGUUCGUAGGCGGUGUGGCAAGUCGGGAGUGAAAUCCCUGGGCUGAACCCAGGGGCUGCUUCGGAAACUGCUGUGCUUGAGUGUGGGAGAGGCGCGUGGAAUUGCAGGUGUAGCGGUGAAAUGCGUAGAUAUCUGCAGGAACACCGGUGGCGAAAGCUGCGCGCUGGACCACUACUGACGCUGAGGAACGAAAGCUAGGGGAGCAAACAGG
rnacentral:rRNA from 1 species